rnacentral:rRNA from 1 species
AGCGAACGCUGGCGGCAGGCUUAACACAUGCAAGUCGAGCGGGCACUUUCGGGUGUCAGCGGCGGACGGGUGAGUAACGCGUGGGAACGUGCCCUCUGGUUCGGAAUAACUCAGGGAAACUUGAGCUAAUACCGGAUACGCCCUUUUGGGGAAAGGCUUGCUGCCGGAGGAUCGGCCCGCGUCUGAUUAGCUAGUUGGUGAGGUAACGGCUCACCAAGGCGACGAUCAGUAGCUGGUCUGAGAGGAUGAUCAGCCACACUGGGACUGAGACACGGCCCAGACUCCUACGGGAGGCAGCAGUGGGGAAUAUUGGACAAUGGGCGCAAGCCUGAUCCAGCCAUGCCGCGUGAGUGAUUAAGGCCUUAGGGUUGUAAAGCUCUUUUAUCCGGGACGAUAAUGACGGUACCGGAGGAAUAAGCCCCGGCUAACUUCGUG